ACAUGAUGCAGACCUUUUGGCUAAGAUCAAGUGUAGUAUCUGUUCUUGCCAGUUUAAUAUUUGAUAUGUGGGCCAUUGGUUCACAUGAUAUUAAAAUUACUUUUUAAGGGUAGUGUCCAACACAGUAGCUUGCUAUUGGGGUUCUUAAUUAAGUGUCACUCAAUCGUUGCACUAUAGCAUGGGUCUGGCGCACCAUAC
rfam:Glycine max cultivar Williams 82 chromosome 18, whole genome shotgun sequence.